rnacentral:rRNA from 1 species
CCUGAUCCGGCAAUGCCGCGUGUGUGAAGAAGGCCUUCGGGUUGUAAAGACGAGAAAAAAGAAAUCCUUGGCUCUAAUACAGUCGGGGGAGACGGAACCGGAAGAAUAAGCACCGGCUAACUACGUGCCGGCAGCCGCGGUAAUACGUAGGGUGCGAGCGCUAAUCGGAAUUACUGGGCGUAAAGCGUGCGCAGGCGGUUUGCUAAGACCGAUGUGAAAUCCCCGGGCUCAACCUGGGAACUGCAUUGGUGACUGGCAGGCUAGAGUAUGGCAGAGGGGGGUAGAAUUCCACGUGUAGCAGUGAAAUGCGUAGAGAUGUGGAGGAAUACCGAUGGCGAAGGCAGCCCCCUGGGCCAAUACUGACGCUCAUGCACGAAAGCGUGGGGAGCAAACAGGAUUAUAUACCCUGGUAGUCCACGCCCUAAACGAUUGUCAACUAGUUGUUGGGGAUUCAUUUCCUUAGUAACGUAGUUUAAUUCGUGAAGUUUGACCGCCCUGGGGAGUACGGUCGCAAGAAUAAAAUU